rnacentral:rRNA from 1 species
AGUGAACGCUGGCGGUAUGCCUAACACAUGCAAGUCGAACGGCAGCACAGUAAGAUCUUGCUCUUACUGGUGGCGAGUGGCGGACGGGUGAGGAAUACAUCGGAAUCUACUUUUUCGUGGGUGAUAACAUAGGGAAACUUACGCUAAUACCGCAUACGACCUACGGGUGAAAUCAGGGGAUCUUCGGACCUUUCGCGAUUGAAUGAGCCGAUGUCGGAUUAGCUAGUUGGCGGGGUAAAGGCCCACCAAGGCGACGAUCCGUAGCUGGUCUGAGAGGAUGAUCAGCCACACUGGAACUGAGACACGGUCCAGACUCCUACGGGAGGCAGCAGUGGGGAAUAUUGGACAAUGGGCGCAAGCCUGAUCCAGCAAUACCGCGUGGGUGAAGAAGGCCUUCGGGUUGUAAAGCCCUUUUGUUGGGAAAGAAAAGAAGCAGGUUAAUACCCCGCUGUUCUGACGGUACCCAAAGAAUAAGCACCGGCUAACUUCGUG